rnacentral:rRNA from 1 species
AACGAACGCUGGCGGCAUGCCUAACACAUGCAAGUCGAACGAGACCUUCGGGUCUAGUGGCGCACGGGUGCGUAACGCGUGGGAACCUGCCCUUAGGUUCGGCAUAACUCCCCGAAAGGGGUGCUAAUACCGGAUAAUGUCUUCGGACCAAAGAUUUAUCGCCUUUGGAUGGGCCCGCGUUGGAUUAGCUAGUUGGUAGGGUAAAAGCCUACCAAGGCGACGAUCCAUAGCUGGUCUGAGAGGAUGAUCAGCCACACUGGGACUGAGACACGGCCCAGACUCCUACGGGAGGCAGCAGUGGGGAAUAUUGGACCAUGGGCGAAAGCCUGAUCCAGCAAUGCCGCGUGAGUGAUGAAGGCCUUAGGGUUGCAAAGCUCUUUUACCCGGGAUGAUAAUGACAGUACCGGGAGAAUAAGCCCCGGCUAACUCCGUG